UUGCAAGCCUUCCAGCAUGCUUAGGUCUAGGGUGGCUCAGUGCAUUCCUGCAGUGCUUGCUGGAGUGUUCUGAAGUGGUCCCCUUGCCCUGUCCCUUCCUCAGAGCAUGGUCAUAGACAUCUCAGACAGUU